rnacentral:lncRNA from 1 species
UUUCUUAUUUCUUUCUUUAGAAAAGAAAGCUUGGGUGAGGCUUUUUGUCAAACACUUGAGUGCACCAUCACCAACCUUGCAGCACCUAUGUACACAACUUUUUCUUCGAACAGGUUGUGUGCGUCCAGUAUAGGUGCAACUCCAGCAGCUGUAAUGGAGUUUUCCAGCCACAGGAGGUGCAGGUGUACCUCCUUGUGCCUGCACAGAUUCGCUAGUGCUUGCAGCACCUACGUACACAACUUUUUCAGGCAAGGGUGCACCUCUUUGGGUACCUUUAGGAAAAAAAAAAAAAAAAAAGAAUAAAUCAUUCAGAAAAUUUCUCUGAAUUGCAAUUUAGCAUGAUAUUAGAGCCGUCAAUCUUAGAUCCGCUCUAAACCCUAGUUUUUCCUUCAUCCAUAUAGAAACCCUAGUUUUCCUUCAUCCAUAUAGAAACCCUAAUUUUUCCUUCAUCUAUAGUGAAACCCAAAUUAAAUCCCAAAACUAUAGCCUCUAUCUGAACCCUUCCCCAAAUCAUAUACCCUAUUGUAACGAUCUUCGUCAUAACCGUUCUCAACUCUACAUCACAGAUCGUUACAAUCCAUAAUUGGAAUGUAUUGAAUGAGACCGAUUAUACUCUUUGGUCUCCAGUCAUGGAGACACAAAUUUCCAGGAGAAAGAAAGUAGAAAGAUAUGGAUACUUGACCAUUGAUUCACCUCAACCAGCCUCUAUAGAUCUCGCUUACAACAAAUGGCGUCCUAAGAAUUUUAAGGUCAAAUGUAAGUUUCGGCUGCCGUUAAAAAAACCUUACAUGAUGGAUCUAAUGAAUCUCAAAUUUAUGAAUUGAGCAAUAAGGUUUCACCAUGAAGCAUAAUGGAAAGUAUGUCUCUGCUUACUUCAUAUUUUUCUUGCAGGUCAGUGAAUGGUGUAACCCCUGUGGUCGCACAAAACAUAGUCGUGAAUGGUGUUAGGAAUUGGUUGGAUAUCCAGAAUUGUUGAAUCUGUCCAAAGCAUCAAAAAAGAAAUUGAGGUAAAAUUGUACAUGUCUCAUUGACCACAGGCUAUGCCUUGAAUAUUAUGCACCUACUCGCAAUAGUAUGUGGAUAAAUGAUUCAUGUGCAACAUGUUAUAUGACGUUUGAUGUGAAGAAUCGACAAAUUUAGGGUUGAUGUGAAGAAUUGACAAAUUUAGGGUUGAUGUGAAGACUCGACAAAUCCUUAAUGUAGAGAACAUGCAUGCAGUGAUGGAGCCACGUAGGGACGAGAGGGGUUCCAAGCCCCUUCUCAACUCUUUAUUCUCUUCAUUUUCUCUUUUUUCUUCUUUUUUUUCUUCUUCCCAGUUUCACUCUCUUUUUCUUUCUCUCUCUCUCUCUCUGUAAAUAAUUUAAUGUUGUGUGUAUGAAUUGAAUUGAAUAUUGAAAGAGUAUACAAGGAUUUC